GGAGCACUGGUGCAGUGUCAUGUCCCCCCCCAGGCCCUGGGGCCCCCCCUGAGCCGUGGCCGCCACCAGCUUCGUGGGGCCUGAGCCCCGGGACCUGCUGCCUGCUGCUCCGGAGCUGCGCAGUCCCAGCAGUGCCGGGGGGGGGCUGGGCCACGGACUGGGCUGGCCACAGGACUCCCCCCCGUUCGCGGUGGAGCUGCCGCGGGGCCCGGGCGGGUUCGGGUUCAGCCUCCGGGGGGGGCCCCGCCGGGGUUUUCGUGCGGGGGGCUGCGCGAGGGGGGCCCGGCCCAGCGCUGCGGCUGCAUCCAGGUCAGUGACGAGCUCCUGGCCAUCAACGGGGCCCCCACGGCCGGCAUGAGCCACGCGCAGGCGCUGGCCCGGAUCCGGGGCGGGGGCAGCCGCCUGCGCCUGCUGCUGCGCCGCCCCCACGGGGCGCCCCCAGCCCCGCUGGCGCGGGGGGUGCUGCGGCUGUGCGUGGGCAGCUCCCCGCGGGGGGAGCCUGCUUCUGCCUCGUGGGGGGGCUGCACCCCUGACCCCCCGGACCCCGCACACGGACGGUGACGGCGCAGCGAGGUUCGCCCCCCGCCCCCCCCCCCCCCCAAUUUUUUGGUGCUUUGGGGGGCCCCCAUCGCGGGGGGGUCAUUCUGGUACCCCUCGUUUUGGCGGGGGCGCACUUCGAGCUAUGCAAUACCCCCCCCCCGCGUUCCGGGGGUCGCACGGAGGUGUUGUCCCCCUCCCCAUUUCGGGGUGCUCAAUAAAGGUGAGGACCCCACGGUGGCUCCCAUUUCCCACAAGGA